GUUGGGUAGGGGAGCGUUCUGUAAGCCUGCGAAGGUGGCCUGUGAGGGUUGCUGGAGGUAUCAGAAGUGCGAAUGCUGACAUAAGUAACGAUAAAGCGGGUGAAAAGCCCGCUCGCCGGAAGACCAAGGGUUCCUGUCCAACGUUAAUCGGGGCAGGGUGAGUCGACCCCUAAGGCGAGGCCGAAAGGCGUAGUCGAUGGGAAACGGGUUAAUAUUCCCGUACUUGGUGUUACUGCGAAGGGGGGACGGAGAAGGCUAUGUUGGCCGGGCGACGGUUGUCCCGGUUUAAGCGUGUAGGUGUGUGUUCCAGGUAAAUCCGGUUCACUUUAACACUGAGGCGUGACGACGAGGCACUACGGUGCUGAAGCAACAAAUGCCCUGCUUCCAGGAAAAGCCUCUAAGCAUCAGGUAACAUCAAAUCGUACCCCAAACCGACACAGGUGGUCAGGUAGAGAAUACCAAGGCGCUUGAGAGAACUCGGGUGAAGGAACUAGGCAAAAUGGUGCCGUAACUUCGGGAGAAGGCACGCUGACACGUAGGUGAAGUGAUUUACUCAUGGAGCUGAAGUCAGUCGAAGAUACCAGCUGGCUGCAACUGUUUAUUAAAAACACAGCACUGUGCAAACACGAAAGUGGACGUAUACGGUGUGACGCCUGCCCGGUGCCGGAAGGUUAAUUGAUGGGGUCAGCGCAAGCGAAGCUCCUGAUCGAAGCCCCGGUAAACGGCGGCCGUAACUAUAACGGUCCUAAGGUAGCGAAAUUCCUUGUCGGGUAAGUUCCGACCUGCACGAAUGGCGUAAUGAUGGCCAGGCUGUCUCCACCCGAGACUCAGUGAAAUUGAACUCGCUGUGAAGAUGCAGUGUACCCGCGGCAAGACGGAAAGACCCCGUGAACCUUUACUAUAGCUUGACACUGAACAUUGAGCCUUGAUGUGUAGGAUAGGUGGGAGGCUUUGAAGUGUGGACGCCAGUCUGCAUGGAGCCGACCUUGAAAUACCACCCUUUAAUGUUUGAUGUUCUAACGUGGACCCGUAAUCCGGGUUGCGGACAGUGUCUGGUGGGUAGUUUGACUGGGGCGGUCUCCUCCUAAAGAGUAACGGAGGAGCACGAAGGUUGGCUAAUCCUGGUCGGACAUCAGGAGGUUAGUGCAAUGGCAUAAGCCAGCUUGACUGCGAGCGUGACGGCGCGAGCAGGUGCGAAAGCAGGUCAUAGUGAUCCGGUGGUUCUGAAUGGAAGGGCCAUCGCUCAACGGAUAAAAGGUACUCCGGGGAUAACAGGCUGAUACCGCCCAAGAGUUCAUAUCGACGGCGGUGUUUGGCACCUCGAUGUCGGCUCAUCACAUCCUGGGGCUGAAGUAGGUCCCAAGGGUAUGGCUGUUCGCCAUUUAAAGUGGUACGCGAGCUGGGUUUAGAACGUCGUGAGACAGUUCGGUCCCUAUCUGCCGUGGGCGCUGGAGAACUGAGGGGGGCUGCUCCUAGUACGAGAGGACCGGAGUGGACGCAUCACUGGUGUUCGGGUUGUCAUGCCAAUGGCACUGCCCGGUAGCUAAAUGCGGAAGAGAUAAGUGCUGAAAGCAUCUAAGCACGAAACUUGCCCCGAGAUGAGUUCU
rnacentral:rRNA from 14 species